AUUGAACGCUGGCGGCAUGCCUUACACAUGCAAGUCGAACGGCAGCACGGGAGCAAUCCUGGUGGCGAGUGGCGAACGGGUGAGUAAUAUAUCGGAACGUGCCUAGUAGUGGGGGACAACCAGUCGAAAGAUUGGCUAAUACCGCAUACGCACUCUGGUGGAAAGUGGGGGAUCGCAAGACCUCACGCUAUCAGAGCGGCCGAUAUCAGAUUAGGUAGUUGGUGGGGUAAAAGCCUACCAAGCCAACGAUCUGUAGCUGGUCUGAGAGGACGACCAGCCACACUGGGACUGAGACACGGCCCAGACUCCUACGGGAGGCAGCAGUGGGGAAUUUUGGACAAUGGGCGCAAGCCUGAUCCAGCCAUGCCGCGUGUGGGAAGAAGGCCUUCGGGUUGUAAACCACUUUUGUCAGGGAAGAAACGGCUUUGGUUAAUACCUGGAGCUAAUGACGGUACCUGAAGAAUAAGCACCGGCUAACUACGUGCCAGCCGCCGCCGUAA
rnacentral:rRNA from 1 species